UAUUAGAGUUUGAUCCUGGCUCAGGAUGAACGCUAGCGGCAGGCUUAAUACAUGCAAGUCGAGGGGCAGCAGGUCUGUAGCAAUACAGAUGCUGGCGACCGGCAAACGGGUGCGGAACACGUACGCAACCUUCCUUUAAGUGGGGGAUAGCCCGGGGAAACCCGGAUUAAUACCCCGUAAUAUUGAGGUGUGGCAUCACACUUUAAUUAUAGUUCCGACGCUUAAAGAUGGGCGUGCGCCUGAUUAGGUAGUUGGCGGGGUAACGGCCCACCAAGCCUACGAUCAGUAACUGGUGUGAGAGCACGACCAGUCACACGGGCACUGAGACACGGGCCCGACUCCUACGGGAGGCAGCAGUAAGGAAUAUUGGUCAAUGGACGCAAGUCUGAACCAGCCAUGCCGCGUGGAGGAUGAAGGUCCUCUGGAUUGUAAACUUCUUUUAUCUGGGAAGAAACCCCUGAAGUCUUUUAGGGUUGACGGUACCAGGUGAAUAAGCACCGGCUAACUCCGUGCCAGCAGCCGCGGUAAUACGGAGGGUGCAAGCGUUAUCCGGAUUCACUGGGUUUAAAGGGUGCGUAGGUGGGUUGGUAAGUCAGUGGUGAAAUCUCCGGGGCUUAACUCGGAAACUGCCGUUGAUACUAUCAAUCUUGAAUAUCGUGGAGGUAAGCGGAAUAUGUCAUGUAGCCGGUGAAAUGCUUAGAUAU
rnacentral:rRNA from 1 species